rnacentral:rRNA from 1 species
CACUCCUACGGGAGGCAGCAGUGGGGAAUUUUGGACAAUGGGCGAAAGCCUGAUCCAGCAAUGCCGCGUGAGUGAAGAAGGCCUUCGGGUUGUAAAGCUCUUUUGUCAGGGAAGAAACGGUGAGAGCUAAUAUCUCUUGCUAAUGACGGUACCUGAAGAAUAAGCACCGGCUAACUACGUGCCAGCAGCCGCGGUAAUACGUAGGGUGCAAGCGUUAAUCGGAAUUACUGGGCGUAAAGCGUGCGCAGGCGGUUUUGUAAGUCUGAUGUGAAAUCCCCGGGCUCAACCUGGGAAUUGCAUUGGAGACUGCAAGGCUAGAAUCUGGCAGAGGGGGGUAGAAUUCCACGUGUAGCAGUGAAAUGCGUAGAUAUGUGGAGGAACACCGAUGGCGAAGGCAGCCCCCUGGGUCAAGAUUGACGCUCAUGCACGAAAGCGUGGGGAGCAAACAGGAUUAGAUACCCUAGUAGUCCC